rfam:Strongylocentrotus purpuratus Contig37419_fixed, whole genome shotgun sequence.
CAAACAGUCCUUUUCAGGACUACACACUCAUGAAACAAAGAUUAC